rnacentral:rRNA from 1 species
UAUGAUACGCGAGGAACCUUACCCGGGCUUGAACUGCAGCGGAAGGAAACAGAGAUGUUGACGUCCUUCGGGACCGCUGCGGAGGUGCUGCAUGGUUGUCGUCAGCUCGUGCCGUGAGGUGUCGGCUUAAGUGCCAUAACGAGCGCAACCCCUGCGGUCAGUUGCCAUCAGUUAGAGCUGGGCACUCUGGCCGGACUGCCACCGCAAGGUGUGAGGAAGGUGGGGACGACGUCAAAUCAGCACGGCCCUUACGUCCGGGGCUACACACGUGUUACAAUGGGGAGCACAGCGAGUCGGCCGCCCGCAAGGUCGGUCCAAUCAUGAAACCUCCCCUCAGUUCGGACUGGGGUCUGCAACCCGACCCCACGAAGCUGGA